AACGCAUCUUGCGCCUUUUGGUAUUCCGAAAGGCACACCUGUUUGAGUGUCAUGAAUACCUCGUGCCGAUAUACAUUUUUAAUGUGUGUUGUGCUCGGAUUAUGAGCGUUGCUGUAGAUUUCCAACUGCAGCUCGUUUGAAAGUCAUUACCUGACUCUUUAAUGUUUGGAUAGACUCAGCGUGGUAAAAGCUUUCGUUGAGGAUGCUCUUAGUAGCAGCCAAACUUUCAAGAUCGGGUUUCUAAAACCUUGACUUUUUUGCUUUUAGACCUCAAAUCAGGUGGGACUACCCGCUGAACUUAA
rnacentral:misc_RNA from 1 species